rnacentral:rRNA from 1 species
ACGUAGGGGGCAAGCGUUGUCCGGAAUUAUUGGGCGUAAAGCGCGUGUAGGCGGCUUGGUAAGUCUGGUGUGAAAUCUUGGGGCUCAACCCCAAGCCUGCACUGGAUACUGCCUGGCUAGAGUCCGGGAGGGGAGAGCGGAAUUCCCAGUGUAGCGGUGAAAUGCGCAGAUAUUGGGAAGAACACCGGUGGCGAAGGCGGCUCUCUGGAACGGUACUGACGCUGAGACGCGAAAGCGUGGGGAGCGAACAG